CUGAGAUUCUUUGGUUUCCAAGUACACCCUGGGGAUGUAAAUUGCAAAGGAUGAAAGGAUUUGAACCUGCAACCCCCAAAGGUUGAAAAGCGUCUACUGAUGAUGCAUCCACUGAGCUAUCACGUGUCUACCUGUAUAGCCCAAUCACUGCAGUAGUUCUUGCUUCAUAAGCCGUAUUGGCUUUUUUCAUCCAAGUGGGAUUUGUGAAAAAUCAAUAAUCGUAUUGCAC